rnacentral:rRNA from 1 species
UACAGAGGGUGCAAGCGUUGUUCGGAAUUAUUGGGCGUAAAGCGCGUGUAGGCGGCUCAGCAAGUCGGGUGUGAAAGCCCUCGGCUUAACCCGAGGAAGUGCGCCUGAAACUACUGAGCUUGAGUACCGGAGAGGGCGGUGGAAUUCCCGGUGUAGAGGUGAAAUUCGUAGAUAUCGGGAGGAACACCAGCGGCGAAGGCGACCGCCUGGACGGCUACUGACGCUGAGACGCGAAAGCGUGGGGGAGCAAACAGG